GAUGAACGCUGGCGGCGUGCCUAAUACAUGCAAGUCGAACGCAUUGUGGUUGAAAUGAUAUGAAGAACUUGUUCAGAUUUGAUUUUCAACAUUGCAAUGAGUGGCGAACGGGUGAGUAACACGUGGGAAACCUACCUCUUAGCAGGGGAUAACAUUUGGAAACAAAUGCUAAUACCGUAUAAUAAUUAAAACCGCAUGGUUUUAGUUUAAAAGAUGGUCUUGCUAUCACUAAGAGAUGGUCCCGCGGUGUAUUAGUUAGUUGGUGAGGUAAUGGGCUCACCAAGACAAUGAUACAUAGCCGAGUUGAGAGACUGACCGGCACAAUGGGACUGAGACACGG
rnacentral:rRNA from 1 species